AUGCCGAAGGGCAUUGAGGAAGGUCAGUGGAAGGUACUUCAUCGCCAAGCUUGUGGGUUCAUUCGGCAAUGGGUCGAUGACAAUGUUUUGAACCAUAUCAUUGAUGAGACACAUGCACGCACCUUAUGGCAGAAAUUGGAAGAGUUGUUUGCCCAAAAAGAAGGUACAAACAAGAUGUUCUUGAUCAAACAAUUGAUGUGCUUGAGGUACAAAGAGGGCACUCUAAUUGCAGAUCAUGUGAAUACAUUCCAAGGCAUUAUAAAUCAGCUUUCUUCAAUGGGAAUAACAUUUGAAGAUGAAGUGAGAGCUUUGCUGCUACUAGGCUCAUUACCGGACAACUGGGAGACCUUUAAGGUCACAGUUUGCAAUUCAACACCUAAUGGAGUUGUCACUUGGAAUCUUGUGAAAACCAGGGUACUAAAUGAAAGAGUCCAGAAAGGUGGCUGA
rnacentral:rRNA from 1 species